UUUUGAGACAAACAACAGCUUCAACAUGGUCAGAAUAGCGCUUGUAAUGUUGGCAGUGUUCGUGAUCUCCUGUUUGGCCGCUCCAGGAGAACGAGUAAGAAGACACGGCUAUGACUUCAGCCAUGGGGGCUACGGUGGUGGCUACGGUGGGGGUUACGGCCACAAUGGACACGGUGGCCACGGCUUCGGAGGUCACAUCCCCAUCUCACAGUCCUUCUCCAAGUCCUCAGCCAGUGCCAGUUCCAGUUCUGGGGGUGGCACGAUUGUGGGCUGAUGUAUUUUGAGUAAGACAACAUAUUCAUACAACUCCGCUAUCCCUCAACGGAUAUUUAGAUCUAAAACUAACUUAAGUAGGUACAACUGUAAGAUGCCUUAGAUACUAAGUUAAUAACAUAACAUUUGUGAUAACGUUUGCAAAAACCUAACUACGAGGCUAACAAUAAUGUCUAGGACUAUUAUUAACUAAUUUAUUUACCUAGAAUUAAAUAAACUGAUUGAUUUUUUGCAAUUUA